GACGAACGCUGGCGGCGUGCUUAACACAUGCAAGUCGAACGGAAAGGCCCUGCUUGCUUGGGGUGCUCGAGGGGCACACGGGUGUAAUACGCGUGAGUCAUCCGCUUUAGACUUGGGUAUACCUUCGGAACUGUGUGUAAUACACGGUACGGCCGCUCCCGGUGCAUGGUGGUGGUUGGAAGGUUUCGGGGGUUGGUGAUGGACUCCCGGCUUAUCAGCUUGUUGGUGGGGUAGUGGCUUACCAAGGCGUUGACGGGUAGCCGGCCUGAGAGGGUGACCGGCCACACUGGGACUGAGAUACGGCCCAGACUCCUACGGGAGGCAGCAGUGGGGAAUAUUGCACAAUGGGCGGAAGCCUGAUGCAGCAACGCCGCGUGCGGGAUGACGGCCUUCGGGUUGUAAACCGCUUUUGGCUGCGAAGAAGCGAGAGUGACGGUAAUGGGAGAGGAAGCACCGGCUAACUACGUG
rnacentral:rRNA from 1 species